GUAGGUGAACCUGCGGAAGGAUCAUUAACGAAACUACCAGCUGCUGCCGUAGCGCAUUGCUGCUUCGGUCAGUCGGCAGGGUCAGUGUGCUGUUUCGCACAGCGUCGCUGAUGACAGUCUGUUGCACAUAAGCUCGGCCUGACCGCUGAGCGAUGGGAAGUCGGCGAUGAUGCUGCGCGGGUGCUUUCCGUGUAUGCUUCGACGUCGCAUGGCGAUACCGCAGUCGUCCGGGUACCUGUCUCGACCGUCU
rnacentral:misc_RNA from 1 species